GAGUAAAUGAGUUAAAAUCGAAAACAACCUGAAGCACGUUUUGUUAGUAUAUGAAUUUACGUUAACAUUACGUCUUCUAUAAAGGUAACGACGAUACGUGUUAAGGACUCUCAAAAGCCACGAGUUUAGCUUCUACGAUGUGCUGUAGUUUCGGGUGUCGAUAAGGAGCCCGAUAUUCUCCUAAUUGGUCGCUAGCAAAUACGCACGUAUGACCAAUGACCCAACGCGACGCAGCGACAUUAUCCGCGGUGUUUCACAACGCAUAUAGUAUAGUAAUAUGUAAUGACACAUAAGGAUAUCUUACAGUUAGAAGGAUCUGUUUAUGGAGUGAGGGAAGUAAUGAACUUUUUGACAAGGCGACAGACGACUGACGAUGGGUUGAAUAACUCGGCGCUCGGUACUCGGCACUUAUCCCAAAAUCUCGAAAGAGCAACGUCAUUCAGGGAAAAUUUCUACAUAUACAUAUGUAUGUGUAUAUGUAUGCAGUUAAUGAGUAAAAUAGCAUAAUAUUAAUGUUUUUGAAAUAAUUGUUCUAAAGAUUAUCUUUAUCUCUUUUUUUCAAUAUCAAUUCCUGCGCAAGGCAACCGGAAACAAUUAUCGGCCCUGCGUUAAUGUCAAAGGUCGAACCUCCGUCUACCGUAUGAUGUAAUAAUUAGAACUUGUUUUUUAAAACAUUUAUUUUACGCACGUCGCCUGUUCCGUGUCGCAUAACGAUUUAAGGUUAACGAACACAUCGGGUGGUCUCACAUUCGAUUUUCGAUGUAGAUGAGCCCAUUAUUUACUGAACAUGAUCAGGAAUAACCGUGAUUUCCUAAUAAAGUAGGAAGGACAGGCAAAGUAAAGGAAAGGCACGAAAAAAGUGUGUGCUUGCCAGAAAAGGUGGCAAUAUGUAUAUAAAAAAAUCAUGAAUUCUUCUAGAAGGAUGGUAUCAUUAAAAGCGAUAGGUUCAAAACUUAAACACUUAUUUAUAUUUUUGAAAAGGAAUAUAUAGAAUUAGAAAAAAGCACUUUAAAGAAGAAAGUACACAUAUUAAAACAAAAUUAAAACGUAACAGUAACAAAAUCGUAGAAUGCAAUUCUGAUAUUGUCCACAUUGAAUGAUAAAGUGUACUAAAAUAUGGAAAAUGGAUAUAUGUAACAGUUUUAUGAAAUAAAAGUAAAGAUUAGUUAUCAUUGUAUGAACCCAGACGAAGAAACUGAAGAUACAUAUCUGUUGAUGUCCCCUCGAUUUAUCGCUAAAUGCUAUGUACAUGUAUAUAUGUAUAGGUAAUUUAAACAAAAUUUUUUCUUCAUUGUAUCGGAUAAUCAUAAUUUAUAUGUAUUUAUAUGUAUGUUUAACGUUUCAAUGAUAUUGUAAAAAAACUUUUGGUUCCACUAAAUUUCGGUCCCUUCUAUUUUUGUAUUUUUAUCAAAGUAGGAUAAAAUUAACGAAUAAAGUGAAAAUUAAAUACAGAACACAUAUAUAUUGCAUUCGAUCAAACACGUGAAUGUGUAUACUUGUGCCAAAAAUAAUCAGUAUCGAAGAAUAUUAUUUGUAAAUUAUUCGAAAAAUAUGAAAAACAUCACUUACCAGAAGAAAUAUAUAAUCAGUAGUAGAUUUUAAUCUAAGAUGUAUAAUAGAGCAGAUCGUUGGUUAAGCUGUUAGACAACGCGCAUGAAUACGAUAGAAGAAAAACAGAUCCAACUCCAACUCCGGCUGCUGUCAAGGCGACACUGAACAACCCCCUCGCAGCGUUCUGUUAUGGUUAUGACUUGCGUUAGCUGCCGGGUACUAUGAAAAUCAACUUCCCUUUAAGGAGCGUGCGCAGCAUUAUUUAUUUUCCGAUAAUGCGGUCGAUUGUGCCUGUAUAAUGGAACAUUCAUUUUCUUCCUUUCAUUAUGGUUUCAUGCGUGCAAUUUGACAAAUAUAAUAUAAAGAAGUAUAGGAAAAUCAAUUAUUAUUAAUAUUCAAUAAUAUUAUUGUAUAUCACAAUACAAUUUAUAUAAUAAUAUGUACAUAUGUAUGAUAAAGUAAUGUUGUGAUAAUAUCCUGAUGCUUCCUACAUGAAACCAGAUACAAUUUGAAUAUGUCAGUGUUUGAUGAAAAGCAUAUUUCGCCACCUAUGUAUGUGCGUAUGUAAUGCAUUAACGUUUCUCUUAAAUCAUUCAAUAAUUUCGAAUAACUAUAUUUAGUGCAAGAUCGAGUAUUUUCACAACAUUGAAUUAUCAUUUACCGAUGAUUAAAGUCCUUACAUAACUCUCUGGUAUUUCUCCAGAUUAAAUUAAUUAAAAAUCGCUUGGGAUACAAUGAGAUAGAAUUAAUUUUUCAUAACACGAAAUAAACAAUUAUGUGUCAAUAAUAUGUAUAAACGACAAGUUUACAUUUGCAUCGAUAAUUGCAAAAUCAUACUUAUAAUUUCAAAUCCAUUUUUAAACAAUAAUCAAAGUAAAGAUUAUCAAUAAUAGACGUUAAAUAAAUUUUCUAUCUACAAAGGAAUAAUACAUCCUGUUUUAUCUACGUUUCAUCAUUUAACUUUAACCUAUACGUACCUAUACAUACAUAAAUACAAAAUUCUUACGGAUCGUGUCCCUUGGUCUCUUUUCUUCCCCUUUUUCUUUGUAUACUCCACGUAUACUCUUACACAUUUUAUUAUUAUUAUUAUAUCGUGUUAACUGCUUUUUAUGAAUAUUGUAUUAUACAUAUUGUUACAUAUACUUGUGUCAUCUACUUUGAAAUUUGUAAA